CUCAAUGGUGCCUCUACUGGCUUAGAAUUUGAUUCUCCAAUCAAAUUUAAUUAUGUGUGUGUCAGUUCUUCUACCUCAUAAACUUCAUCAAGUUCAAUUUUAUAGAUAUUAGUUUCUUCUUCAAGGAACUCUUUUUCCAAAAGGACUGCCCUAUUGCUGACUAACACAUUUUGUUCUUUAGCGAGGUAGAAGUAAUACUCUUUAGUUUUCUUUGGAUACCCUACGAACAAGCAUUUAUCAAAUUUUGCUCCAAGCUUAUCUGUCUUUAAAUGCUUGACAUAAGCCGGACACCUCCACAUCCUAAGGUGUGAAAGCACC
rnacentral:lncRNA from 1 species